GGAGUUUGGUCCGUGUCUCAGUACCAAUGUGGGGGACCUUCCUCUCAGAACCCCUACUGAUCGUCGCCUCGGUGGGCCGUUACCCCGCCGACAAGCUAAUCAGACGCAUCCCCAUCCCUUAGCGGUGAACCUUUGCUUCCCAUCAGAUGCCAUCCAGGAAGAACAUAGAGUAUUAAUCCGACUUUCGCCGGGCUAUCCUCUACUAAGGGGAAGGUUGGAUACGCGUUACUCACCCGUGCGCCGGUCGCCAUCACAGAUAGCAAGCUACCUGCAUGCUGCCCCUCGACUUGCAUGUGUUAAGCCUGUAGCUAGCGUUCAUC
rnacentral:rRNA from 1 species